rnacentral:rRNA from 1 species
GACGAACGCUGGCGGCGUGCUUAACACAUGCAAGUCGAACGGUGACGAGGAGCUUGCUCCUCUGAUCAGUGGCGAACGGGUGAGUAACACGUGGGCAACCUGCCCCUGACUUCGGGAUAACGCUUCGAAAGAGGUGCUAAUACCGGAUAUGAGUCCCUCCGGCAUCUGAGGGACUGGAAAGUUUUUCGGUCAGGGAUGGGCCCGCGGCCUAUCAGCUUGUUGGUGAGGUAACGGCUCACCAAGGCGACGACGGGUAGCCGGCCUGAGAGGGUGACCGGCCACACUGGGACUGAGACACGGCCCAGACUCCUACGGGGGGCAGCAGUGGGGGAUCUUGCACAAUGGGCGAAAGCCUGAUGCAGCGACGCCGCGUGAGCGAAGAAGGCCUUCGGGUUGUAAAGCUCUGUCUGGAGGGACGAACAAAAUGACGGUACCUCCGGAGGAAGCCACGGCUAACUACGUG